rnacentral:lncRNA from 1 species
CUUUUUCGCAAAUGAGGAAACUGAGGACCAAGGAGCCAGGUGGAUAUCACGGUACACACUUGUGAGUAAGUUACAGUCAGUGAAAGUGUGGAGAAGCGAGAGGCUGUGGAAGAAGGACAACUGCAAGGCGGAGAGACACGGGAGACGGGGCUCCAUACAUCAGGGGAUGGGAGAUGUGGGAGGUCGAGAGAGAUCCAGAAGAAAAAUAAUAAAAAUUAAAGGCAUUUUCCC